CGAUAAGUUCUCAUGUUUCGUGUUGCAUAGACAUACAUAGAGAGACAUAGCAAUACAAUAGCAAUCAUGUUUGAUACAAAUCAAUUUAAAUACAACAUGCAAAUAAUAGGUUUUCUGGACAUGCUUUUCCACCCCGAAACAUAAAAACUGAAAAUAGGGAAUGCGUGAAUACUCACAAUGUUUCGAGUAGGUACAAGUGGUGCCUCAGAAUACACCAACGUCUUACUACCAGGAUCCUACGACAUCAAACACACACUAGUGAGUUUCCAUGUCAAAAUCUAAUGCUAAUAUACUAAACUCUACAUAUAGAGAAAUGCCAAAUUUAUGUUCUAAUAUCGGUUUUAUAUUAAUUGGUUACAAUUUUUCUAAAAUCAUGAAAUUCUAUAAAUCAUGUGAUUAAGACAAUUUUGGAUAUUAAUUUUCCAGAUUUAGUAAUAUAAAUUGAGGGUAUUUCGACACAUUUAAAGGUGUUUUAAAUUCCUAAAAAUUUAAAAUAUUAUCAAACAGUUUCCAAAAAUUGUCAAACCUUGUAUUUUCAUUCUUAAUACAGUAUAGGUCUUCUAGAAAAUUUCCCUUACAUUUUUGAUAUGGUUAACUAUUUUUCCAAAUUUCUAAGCCUUCAUAACGACAUAAAUUCAUGAAAAAUAGCAUCCAAAGGAUAAAAAUUCUCAAAAUUAUUAUAUUACUGUUAUUCAACAUUAUUAUGUUAGAAAAAAUAUAAAAAUGGAUUUCAAAGCUGUUUAACCCAAUUUUAUGAUUUUUGAGAAUUUAUUCCAAUAAAAACUGAAAUAAAUAGAAACCAGUUUCCAAAAUUACCCAAACUUUUUAUUUUACUGUUUUUGUACAUAUAAAAGCUGUGAAAAAUAUAAACGAUAUUUUUCAUAUGGUCGUUCUAUUUUUCUUUGUUUUUAUCACCUUAAAUAAUCAUUAAUUAAAGAAUAAAUAAUAAACUGUUAAAGUAAAUACCAAAAAUUUUUGUAACAUCAUUUACAAUGUAAGUGAUCUGGGCAAAAUACCAAAAGUGAUUUUCAUAUUGUAUAAUCUGGUUUUGUGUAUUUAUGUGUAUUUAAGUAUAUUUAAGUAAAUUUAACCUUAGAAAAUAGAAGAAAAAUAGUAUACAGUAGAGAAAACUCAUCAACAUUUUUAUGUAGCCUCCUAAUGUACAGCAAGAUGUACUAGUAAAUUUUCAUGAAUUUUGGAUGAUAAGAACUAUUUGUUUCUAUAUUUAGGCCAUUAUAAUUACAAAAAUUGGGGAAAAAUAGAAAGGCAUGAUGAAAAAUUCUGAAAUUAUUUUUUUGAGUCUCCCACCUCAGCUAAGAGCUGCGAAAAUUGUUAGAUAUAAUUUUUAUACCCUCUAAAGUGGUUUUGAGAUUUAUUGGACCCAAACAAAAAGAAAAUCAAAAGUCAUACUAAACAGAAACAUAAAUUGAUGAAACUUAAUGAGACGCUAUUAUUUACCAUAGGGGUCAGGAUUUAUAGACCUCUGAAAGUAUUUUAUGUGAUUUAUGCCCUUGUCUUCUUGUAACAAUUUUAAUAAAUCAAAGAAAUGAUAAAAACUCUUGGGAUUUUCCAGAUAUUCAUAUUAUCUUAAUGGGAAUCUGGAAAAUUUUUAUUUCAAACAGAAAAGAAUUUUAGAUAUUUUUAUAAAUAAAAUCAUUUAUAUGCACUAUUAACAAUGUACUUUGAUCAUCAAGCUCUUUAGCUUGCUGUUCAUCACAUGCAUCAUGGUUUGAAGACCAUGCAUGGACAUAUGUUUGUCAUAGUGAUGUUUUUAAAGGAAAUACUUGAAUGUAUAAGGUGUAUGGACCUUUAAAACUUGUAAAAAUCCGAACUUUAGUGUUUGACAUAGGUUUUGGUCCUUGGAUUUCACCAUUAAACAACAUGCAUGUUGUUCUUGUGUGAAACCCUACCACCAUCAUCAUCAAACUCGACAUUCAUGAACAUGUUCAUGAAUGUUCAUAAAUAAUGGUGUAGAAGGAAGAGAAGUACAAGAAAACCUUUUAAAACAAGAAGGAAAUGUAAGGAAGGGUGAAAGAUUUUCGUGGAUACCUUGAAGAAUACCCUUAGAAGAUUAAGAUUUGAGUGUGGAGAGGUGUUCUUGACUGAAUAUUUUUGUGAGUUUAGAGAGAGAGAGGAGGAGAGUUUGAGAGUUGAAGGGUGGAGUGUGAGAGAGAGUGAAGAGAGAAGUGGAAGUGUAGGAAAUGAGUUUAAUGAUUGAAAUUUUGGGAUGAGAGAGCAUGGGGGAGAAGGGGUGCCAGAUUUUUGAGUGUAUUAAAGGCCCUCUCUCUCCUAAUUUAAAUUAAAUACAUUUCCCUCUUUAAUUUUUAUAAAACCCUAAUUUUUAUAAAAGUGCUUCUUUAAGUAAUUCUUGAUUUACUUAAAAAUCUUUGUUUUUAACUAAUAAAUUAUGAUUAAUGUUUGAUAAGUUAAAUUUUUAUGUCUUUGAUUAUAUCCCAUAAUUUGAUUAUUAAAAUUUGAUAUUAGGAAGUUUAUAGCCAAUUUUAUAAAGUUUUUAAGCUUUAAGGUUUAUAAAUUAGGAUUUUGGCUCUUUAGGGUUUUUGGAACAUUGUUUGAUAUUCACUAUCAUAUUUGAAUGAAAUUAGAAUAUUUUAAUUUAUUUUUAGGGUUUUAUACCUGAUAUGUGUAUUUUUAUAUAUAUUUUUAUACACUUUAUCUUAAUAUUUUGGCCUUAUUUAUUCUAUUUUAGAACUAAAAAGUACUCAUAAUACUUUGAAUUAUGUUUUGCAGCUAUUUGUUGUCGAUAAAGCACAAAAGAAAAGACUGAAGCGGAAACCGGACUUAGAAGCUAAAAGAAAGAAAAGAAUGCUGAGGUAGCGAGUACGCCCCGCGUAAUGAAAUGGUACGCGCCGCGUACAGACUUGCCUCGGAUAGACUUGAUCGCGUGAUUAUCUUGAGUACGCGCUGCGUAAUCCUAAGUACGCCCAGCGUACUUAGGUCGGCCACAAAGACUAUAAAUGUCGAUUUUUAGCUAACCAGGAAGGGGGAUUCGACUUCUAACCUAAUUUAGUCGACAAUUAACUUCUGUUAAGCCGUUUUGAGGGUCUAGAAGGCGGCCGGAAGGCCGUUAAGCUAACGGGAGCAGAGAUCGGAAGGAUUGGAGAGCGGAUACAUGUCGAUUAUCAUAUGGAUUGCUGACGUGACCAUGUUUAGCAUUCCAUUGUGGUACUUUUCUGUAUUUAGUUUCUGAUUUAGGUGUAAAAACCUUUUACUUUGUGUUUAUGAUUGAAUGAAGCUUUGAUUAUUAGACUAAUUGCUAUAUUAAAUAGUUUAUUUGUGUUUAAUUUAUCUUGCCAAGCUUGUUAAAAGAUCCUCAUGUGUUAAUGAUGAUUAUUUUCUGUUAAUUGUUAAGUGAAUUAAGUUGUAUGAACAUCUGCUUGAUUUGCUUGUCUCUUAUGAUUUUUGAUGACCAUCGAGAUUAUAAGACUAGAAAUAACGAAUGUGAAACUAGGAUUAAUUUGAGAAUAAGUAAGUUAAUGUGUGAGCCUUGUUUGAUGACCAUCAACAAGAGGUUGAUUAAAUGUCUAAAUUGAUUAACUAUAUUUACAAGUCUUGCUUGAUACGAACUGAACACUAGGAAGCAUGUUAGUUUAAUCAACUGAUCACUGUUUAAAUUGACUUGUUUGCUAAAGGAUUAGUUAUAGUGAACGCGAAUCUAAUCAUUUUAGGAAUCGGUGAACAUGAAUAAAUGAAUUUGUGUAUGCAAUUGUCUAUGUUUUUAAGGUGUAAUUUAUCUAAACCAAAGUACCUGAAGAGAUGUGCUUUCCUGUUAGUUUAUCGAAAGUUGUUAAUUGUUAGUUUGAGAUUUAUUAAACCAUUUUCUUUAUUAUUUUCGUGUGACAUAUAACCUAUAACCAAAUAUAUUAAAUUAAUCCACCGUUCCCUGUGAUCGACACCCGACUUACCUAAGCUAUACUGUAAUCUGACUAGGUACACUGCCUAUAAGUGCAUAGAUAGUCUAAGUUUGUUAGGUUAUAAAUAUUAAAAUUAGUGGGUACUUUUGUGCACAUCAAGUUUUUGGCGCCGUUGCCGGGGAACGGCUUGUCAUUAAUUUAUUUUAUUUGAUUAUUCGUUAUUUGUUUUUAGUUAGUUUUUAUUUUUAGCUUUUAUUUUUAGUUGAUUUCCGAUGAUAUCAUUUCACUUAUCGGGAAGGUUCUUGUUUUUAUUUUGCAGGAAUUUGGGAUUGUACACAUUGCUUGACUUUACUUUUUGCAUGGGUUUCGAGAAUUAAAGCGAUUAGGGAAUUCUUGACCUGCUUAGCCUACUACUUUGUCGAAUUUGUCCAACUCAAUCCAUGAGGCGUAGUAUAGCAAGGCGUAUUGUGGUGGUUAAGUGGAAGACCGAGCUCUUGCUGUUCUUGACUAGUUAGGUCACUUCUUGUUCCGCUUUUAGUUAAAGGUGCAAGGAAAACAAAGGAAAUAUUCUAACGGGUCCCGAAAGUGGGUGUUUUCGCAAACCAAUUCUUGCAUGCAAAGGUUUUUGAUCAACCAUUGUUGUUUGAUCUUGACAAAGAUAAGUGAUUAUGACAUCUCAACUUUUUAUCACUCAUCGUGAAGUCAUCAUUAGCUAAGGAAAUUAAAAAUAAUAAUAAUAAUAAAUAAAUAAAUAGUUAUGUUUUAAGCCCUUAAUUAAAUAUUUAGAAAGAAAAGGAAGUUAAAUCAGAGGGUAGUAAAAAUUUGAAAAAUACAAAUUACGCCCCGCGUAAGUUUAAUUACGCCAUGCGUAAUGUGCCCCGGAUCGCGAAUGAACAUUUCAGGGGGUUGAGGUACGCCCCGCGUACCCUUGAGUUACGCCCCGCGUAACACGGCGACCAGGUAUAUCUUUUGACCCUUUGACUUCUUCUUUAUUCUUUUCCCAUUUCUUCUCUCAAACUUGCACUGUGACGGCCGAGCUCUCCUCAACAUUUUCGAUUGUGCUUCUUUUCUUGUAAAAUUCGACACACGGGUAAGUAUUUCGGAUACUCAAUAGCUCGGAUUUAUGUUUAAUUUGAUGAAAUAAGCUGCAUUAUGCCUUUGUUUGAAAUCUAGGGUUCGUGUAUUUUUCGAAUUAGGGGUCGAUUUCACACAUUCGUGUUUGAUUAUGGCUUAAAUGGACCGAUUUCGAUCCAUAGACUAAACCCUAGGACCUUAUUUGGUAUUAAUUCCGUCCCAUGACCGCCGAUUUGAACUUGGGGACGGACGCCUAGCGUACGCCCUAUUCUCCGUUUGUUUUUAAAUACCCACAUAGUGUUGCUAAUCUUGAAUAGACAAAGAACGAACAGGGGAUUGAUUCCUAUUAUUGGACAUAUUUUAAGGGUGGUCCCGUUUUUUUUUUACUGCUUAUGGACCACUCGAUUUGAACUUGUGUUGAUGCCCCUGCUGUGUUUGUUUGGAUAUGGGUUAUGACCUUAGCACAAGAAAAGGGACUGGGACCAGGAUACAGAAUCGCAAGCCUGGACUUACGCCCAGCGUAUGCUGGAUGUACGCCCAGCGUACUGCCCCUAUCCAACUCCAUUUUUUUGGUUUAAAAAUCUAUUAAUGCUGCCAUAUUUUGUUGGUUUUGUGUUUUUGUGUUAAUAUGUGCAGAUUAUGGCUCAAAGGACACAAAGAACCAACCCUCCCGAGGAUGUGACCGAUCAUCGCUUUUUACAAUUUCCGCAAACGCUGAACGAUGCUACCCGGGCGCGUUAUGUCACCAACUUGAGCUUGCUUCUCACAAAGGAGAUUGAUAUUGCACCCUCAUUCGACUGGGAGUUGGCUACCAGGACUGGACUUGCUGCAUUGAUCCAGGAAUUUUUGCAAUACACACACUCGGACGCGAGUGGUGUGGAAUUGUUUGUGUGUCAGGGAUGGGCGCGUUUGUUCAGGAUCCAGGAGCUUGUGUAUCGGGAGUUUUUGCUGGAGUUCUACGCUACAGUUUCCUAUGAUCCUAGGAAGGCACUCGAUGACAGGACAGCCUUUGCUUUCAGAUUGGGAGGAGUAAGCCGGGAAUGCAGCGUGAUAGAGCUUGCGGCUCGGGUGGGUAUUUACACAGUCGAUGAGAUGAGGAGUGUUCACUUCCCGACAUUCCUUGCUGAUUAUCUCAUGGACCGGCCGGAGGACUAUAAUGAGAACACAUUUUGGGCCGAGAUUACGGGAGGAGUUUAUACACCAUCUACCGCUCGAGGGGGGAUGAUUCGGUCCACUACAUACCGAAUGUUGCACCGGUUGAUUUCUAUGUCUCUCACGCAUCACAAGAAUAGUGAGAGAGUGCCUUCGACGGACCUGUAUUUCCUAUGGGCACUAGUUACUCCAGGGAGGCACCUGAACCUUCCAGUUGCUUUAGCUGCAUACUUGGGACGGAGGGCCAGGGGACUUAGGGGAGAUAGCCCGAUAUGCGGAGGGCAUUUUAUCACACGGUUAGCUCGAUCAUACCAGUUGAUGACACGUGAGAUCACGAGAUCGAUGGUGUUUCACGACAUGAGGCCGAUGAGUCUUCAGCUAUUGGAGUCGAUGCGCGUAUUAGAGCGGGGUGGUGAUGGUGUUUUGAGGGUUCGAGCAGAUGAUGAGGCAGAUGAGGAGGGUGCUGCCGAGACGGGUACCGCGGCGUAGACCUGCUCCUCGGGGAGCGCAGCAGGGACCUGAGCGGGAGAUUGAUAUGCGCUACCUGGCUCAGGGCAUUGACCGUCUUAGCGAGUAUGUUGCACAUGUGGACAUGCAACAGCAGUGGUAUGGGAAUGCGUUGAACGCAUUCUUUGCCCACCAGGGGUUUCAGUAUUCGGUUCCCUUUCCACCACCAUUCCAGUCACGAUUUGAUGGGGCCGGUACUUCUGGGACACAGCCACAUGAUGAUGGAGAUGACGAGUGAUCCUUUUUAUUUUGUUUUAUUUGUUUUGUGUUAUUUUUAGUUUAGUUUAGUUUUUAGUAUUUGGUAUGUAAUUAAACUUUGAUUUAGUUUGAUUUAGUUUGUUUUCCAUGUUGAUGCUCUUUGGUUGUUUAGAUUUCUGCAGAAUUUUCGCCCUUAGGAAGCUGGCAGUAAGUUCAGCAGCUAGGUCCGACUGUUGCUAGAGAGAGCGGUAUGAGAGUUGAAGAUUAUAGUCGAGACCCACGAUUUGUCAUAAGUGUGGGGUGCAUAUUUAUUUCGUGAGCGAUCGUUUUGAAGAUUGGCAUUGUUACGAUGUUUUGACUCUUAUGAUAUGGAUGAGCAGUUCCCAUACCAUAGAGUUUUAUUUCGACGCGAGGAAGAAGUAUCGUCCCGGUUGCCACGACAUGGUUGACAUUUUCCUAUGUCAUGGGGGAUUUUUCAUCGCGAGUAGAGGAUGUCAUUCUCGACGAGACGACGUGGUCGACACUUUCCCACGUCAUGGUUACUAUACUUUGCAUUUAUUUGCAAUAUUUUGCACCACAUUUUUGAAGAUGGCGGUCUUGAUUUUAUUUUUCGGCAAAUUCAGAGGCAGCAGUUCCAGUUUUCAGUCUUUCGGCGAUAUUUGAAGCAACUUGUAGCAGCCCCAUUCGAUCUCGCCACAACUACCCAGGGGAGUCUGUUCCUUUUUCUCCCUUUUUAUGUUCUUAAUUUGUUUUAGCAUACAAUGAGGGCAUUGUAUGAAAUAAGUGUGGGGUAGGGGAUCGGUAAAAGUAAAUUAAAAUUAAGAGAAAAAUGAAAUUGCUAGAAUUUGGAAAAUUUAAAAAUUUGAAAAAAAAUUGAAAUAAUAGUUUAAUUUAGAAAAAUCUAGUGAUAAUUUAAAUUUUUGCUAAUAUUGUAUGAAAUGAUCCGAUGAGAACUCAAAUGUUUAGUUGAGCCAAUAUACGUUAUAGUGCAUUUGUGGCCUCCCUUAUUUUAGUGAAAUCAUGGAACAAAAACAUAACCCCGCUUGGUUUGAGGGAUGCAAUAUGUUUAGCAGCCUAAACCUGAAAUGUAUCCAGGAAAAUUAUUAUCAUUAACCAAUAAAGGUUGAGGUUGAGCGCCUCUGCUUAAGCAUGUAGGUUUUGAGUGAAAAAAAAAGUGAGUUACAUGUAAAAAAAAAAAGAAAGAAAGAAUUACGGAAAAUUUUUUUGAAGAAUUUUGGAGAAAAUAAAGUGAAGAUCAAAAGAUCAAAAUUCUGAAGAAAUCCAAAAAGUUGAAGAUACCAGAAAUCAAUUCAAAUAAGGUGUUGAAUUCAAAGAAAUCAAAGAUCAAAAUGCCAAAGAAAUGAAGAAUUCAAAUAAAGCUCCAUAGUGGUAUCAUAAAUUGUAAUUCUAGAAUAUGUAUGCUUAGGUUGCUCAACUAAAAAUACCUUGAGGUUAGGAGGUUUUCUGCGGAUGGAUUCGGAGGGUUGCAUAAAAUGAGCAUUGUUCGGAAAAAGUGGGCGAGUGUUUAUGAAGAUUGUGAGUAUUUAAAAUAUGGGGGGGUCCUUUAGGAAAAUAUUAGACACAAAUGUACGCGUUGAGGUCUUGGCAUAAUGGCUGAGUUUUAAAUGGAUUGUUUAGUGCGAUAUUGGUAAAAUAAAAGUAAAUUUGCUUGGGGGCAAGCAAAGGCUAAGUGUGGGGUAUUUUGAUAUGUGUAUUUUUAUAUAUAUUUUUAUGCACUUUAUCUUAAUAUUUUGGCCUUAUUUAUUCUAUUUUAGAACUAAAAAGUACUCAUAAUACUUUGAAUUAUGUUUUGCAGCUAUUUGUUGUCGAUAAAGCACAAAAGAAAAGACUGAAGCGGAAACCGGGCUUAGAAGCUAAAAGAAAGAAAAGAAUGCUGAGGUAGCGAGUACGCCCCGCGUACCUUAAGGUUACGCCCCGCGUACCUGCUUGUGCCAGAUAUACUUGAUCGCGUGAUUAUCUUGAGUACGCGCUGCGUAAUCCUAAGUACGCCCAGCGUACUUAGGUCGGCCACAAAGAUUAUAAAUAUCGAUUUUUAGCUAACCAGGAGGGGGGAUUCGACUUCUAACCUAAUUUAGUCGACAAUUAACUUCUGUUAAGCCGUUUUGAGGGUCUAGAAGGCGGCCGGAAGGCCGUUAAGCUAACGGGAGCGGAGAUCGGAAGGAUUGGAGAGCGGAUACAUGUCGGUUAUCAUAUGGUUUGCUGACGUGACCAUGUUUAGCAUUCCAUUGUGGUACUUUUCUGUAUUUAGUUUCUGAUUUAGGUGUAAAAACCUUUUACUUUGUGUUUAUGAUUGAAUGAAGCUUUGAUUAUUAGACUAAUUGCUAUAUUAAAUAGUUUAUUUGUGUUUAAUUUAUCUUGCCAAGCUUGUUAAAAGAUCCUCAUGUGUUAAUGAUGAUUAUUUUCUGUUAAUUGUUAAGUGAAUUGAGUUGCUUGAACAUCUGCUUGAUUUGCUUGUCUCUUAUGAUUUUUGAUGACCAUCGAGAUUAUAAGACUAGAAAUAACGAAUGUGAAACUAGGAUUAAUUUGAGAAUAAGUAAGUUAAUGUGUGAGCCUUGUUUGAUGACCAUCAACAAGAGGUUGAUUAAAUGUCUACAUUGAUUAACUAUAUUUACAAGUCUUGCUUGAUACGAACUGAACACUAGGAAGCAUGUUAGUUUAAUCAACUGAUCACUGUUUGAAUUGACUUGUUUGCUAAAGGAUUAGUUAUAGUGAACAUGAAUCUAAUCAUUUUAGGAAUCGGUGAACAUGAAUAAAUGAAUUUGUGUAUGCAAUUGUCUAUGUUUUUAAGGUGUAAUUUGUUUAAACCAAAGUACCUGAAGAGAUGUGCUUUCCUGUUAGUUUAUCGAAAGUUGUUAAUUGUUAGUUUGAGAUUUAUUAAACCAUUUUCUUUAUUAUUUUCGUGUGACAUAUAACCUAUAACCAAAUAUAUUAAAUUAAUCCACCGUUCCCUGUGAUCGACACCCGACUUACCUAAGCUAUACUGUAAUCUGACUAGGUACACUGCCUAUAAGUGCAUAGAUAGUCUAAGUUUGUUAGGUUAUAAAUAUUAAAAUUAGUGGGUACUUUUGUGCACAUCAAUACCCUUUUUCAAUUGUAACAAAUGUUUGGAGUUUUAUUCUAAUUAUGGUAUUGGCAUUUCCAAUUGUAGCUAAACAACUUACUAAAAUCGUAAGAGUCAAGUAUAUUAGUCCUAGAUUUUAGUUGGAUCCUAGUUUAUGCAAGAUUUUGACCUAAUUUAUACUACUAGGCCAUGGCAUGUUGUGCAUGAAUUGUUUUUAUAAAGAUUCAUGAGUCCGAGAAUGACCUGAAUUGACAGUUGUCAUAGUAUCUCACACUUAAAAAGAAUUUCGUCCCAAAAUUCAUUCUAUGUCAUCGGAUGGGAAAAGUUGUGGAUACUUUUCCUUCAUGAAGUCCUCAUGCUCCCAAGUGUACUCCGGACCGCGUUUUGAGUUCCAUCGAACUUUCACAAUCGGAAUCUUACUCCGCUUAAGUUGUUUCACCUCCCUGUCAAGGAUUUCUAUCGGUUCCUCAACAAAGUUUAGCUUAUCAUUGAUCUUAAUUUCCUCCAUAUGUACUAUCAAUGCUUCAUCGGCUAAACAUUUCUUAAGAUUGGAGACAUGGAAGGUGUCGUGAAUGGCGCUUAACUCUUGGGGUAAUCGGAGUUUAUAUGCCACCAGACCAAUCCUUUCAAUGAUCUCAAAGGGUCCAACAUAUCUUGGGCUUAGUUUUCCUUUCUUACCAAAACGUACAAGCCCUUUCCAAGGUGACACCUUUAGAAGUACCUUGUCUCCAAAUUGGAAUUCUAAUGGUUUUCGACGAUUAUCCGCAUAACUUUUCUGACGAUCUAUGGCGGCUUGAAGCCUAUCUUUGAUGAUAGCAAUCUUGUCAGUUGUUUCCUGGAUAAGGUCGAGUCUAGUCAAUUGUCUGUCUCCGAUUUCUGUCCAACAUAAUGGAGAACGACAGUUGCAUCCAUACAAUGCUUCAUAUGGAACACAUUAGAUACUCGUGUGAUAACUGUUAUGGUAGGAAAACUCAAUUAGAGGCAAAUGAGUAUCCCAAUUUCCUUUGAACUCAAUAACCUUAUCUUUUUGCUUUAACACACAUCCUAAUCCUUGAUGAGAUGCAUCACAAUACACUACAAAGUUCUCUGAUCCUUCUGGUAAGGCCAGAAUUGGUGCAUUGCACAGCUUGUUUUUCAGGAUUUGGAACGCCUCUUCGUGUUUCUCUUCCUAGAGAAAUUUUCUGUCAUUUUGAGUCAAAGAUGUUAAUGGUUGAGCAAUCCUAGAGAAAUUUUCAAUGAAGCGUCUGUAGUACCCAGCUAAUCCUAGGAACUGUCGUAUUUCUGUCGGGGUUUUGGGGGCUUCCCAUUUCUUGAUUGCCUCAAUCUUACAUGGAUCUACAUGAAUUCCUCUUUCGCCAAUCACAUGACCAAGGAAAUGUACUUCCCGAAUCCAAAAUUUGCACUUAGUGAACUUGGCAUACAAUUUCUGCUCCUUCAACAACUCCAACACUAGCUUCAGAUGUCUAUUGUGAUCUUCUUUGGUUUGCGAGUAAACAAGUAUGUCAUCGAUAAAUACAAUUACAAACUUGUCUAGGUAUGGUCUACAGACCCUAUUCAUCAAAUCCAUGAAAACAACGGGUGCGUUCGUUAGUCCAAAAGGCAUAACUAAGAACUCAUAAUGUCCAUAACGGGUUCUAAAGGUUGUUUUGUGAAUGUCCCCUUCGUGAAUUCUUAGUUGAUGAUAUCUAGACCGAAGGUCGAUCUUUGAGAAGUAUGAAGCGCCCUGCAACUGAUCGAACAAGUCAUCUAUUCGAGGGAGGGAAUAUCGAUUCUUGAUUGUCAACUUGUUCAGUUCUCUGUAAUCAAUGCACAUUCGGAACGACCCGUCUUUCUUUUUGACGAAUAACAUUGGGGCUCCCCAAGGUGAAGAUCUUGGUCAAAUAAAGCCUUUGUUUAGAAGUUCUUGAAGUUGUCCGGAUAGUUCUUGCAUCUCGGAUGGCGCGAGGCGAUAUGGUGCUUUUGCUACCGGUGUCGCUCCGGGAAUUAAGUCUAUCCAAAAUUCGACCUGCCUGUGAGGGGGUAGACCGGGUAAUUCCUCCGGAAACACUUCGGGAUAGUUUUGAACCACCGGAAUCUCCUUGAGUUGCUUAGCUUCAGGUUCUCUUUCUAGCACGUGGGCCAUGAAUGCAAUCAAUUCUUCUUCAGGUACUUGUGAAUCUUCAUGCUUGAUACAAUGUUUAAACUUCUUCCUGGCUUCUCACCAUGUAUGAUAAGGGUUUCUCCAUUAGGGAGAGGUACCCUAAUGACUCUCUCAUAACAACCAAUCUCCACUCUAUUUUUGGAUAACCAAUCCAUUCCUACUAUUACAUCAAAACGACCUAGCUCUGUAGGAAUUAGGUCAAUGCUAAAGAGUUUAUCAGCUAAAUUCAGAGUACAGUCAAGAAUUAUUUCAUUAGCCCUAAUUUCAUAUCCAUCAGCAAGUUCAAUAGCAUAAGCAUUCCUCAUCUUUCUUGAUCUCAAGUCAAUUAACGGUCUAAAUGCUAAAGAAACAAAACUCCUAUCUGCUCCCGCAUCGAAUAUUACUGAUGCAAAAUGAUUGUUCAGGAGAAACGUACUUGUUAUCACCUCAGGGUUCUGAAGAGCUUCUUUUGCACCAAUCACAAAGGCUACACCUCUUGGCCGCCCACCAUGAUUUCCUUGGAAGUUUUUCCUGGCUUGGCCUUGUCCGUUGAUACCACGCACGUUGUUCAGUUUGGGACAAGCACUACGGAGAUGAUCAGUACUCCUGCACUCGUAACAUGCCCUUUUUCCAUCCUUAUUCAGCUUACAAUACUUCGAGUAAUGGCCUGUUUGUUUACAGUUUUGGCACACUGGGCAAGAUCCUUUGUGUUGGAAGUUACACUUAUUGCACUUCGGAAGCGGUCCUGAGUACUGCUUUCGCUCCUGCACUUCCAUGACUUCCGGUUCCUGAGUUUUCACUGGUUCCUGCUCCUGGGCUCUUACCAUAAAGUUUCUUGAGACUUUCUGCUUCCUCCCUGACUUGCCUCCAUACUUCUUCUCUCCCUGAUCUGCCGGCUUCCUCUUGCUACUAGAGUUUUCCCUUGUCGAUGCUCCCAUCCUUAUCACAUCAUUGGUUAGUCGAUUUGCUAGACUCACUGCACUUUGAAUGGUAGUUGGGUUUGCUGAAGUAACCAUUCCCCGAAUCUCUGGUGCCAGACCCCAGAUGUAACGAUCUAUCCGUUUCUCCUCAGGAGUAACCAUAUGAGGUACCAGUUUUGCUAGUUCAUGAAAUCGGACUGUGUACUUCUCUAUUUGUGUUCCAACCAUAGAAUGGUUCAAGAACUCAGAUUCAAGCUUCUGAAUUUCAUCCUUGGUACAAUACUCCUCUAUCAGUAGCUUCUUUAGGUCUUCCCAAGUUAGCUGAUAUGCCGCUGCACUGCCUCAGGUUUGCACUAGAGUAUUCCACCAGGUCAAUGCCCUAUCUUGGAGUAGACAAGUUGCAUACUCAACUUUGUUGCGCUCGAGACAUUUGCUAAUGUGAAGGACCGACUCCAUGCUGUCAAUCCAUUUCAGCAACCCGACCGCACCUUCCUUUACGUCGAACUCCUUAGGUUUACAGGCCAUAAAGGACUUGUAGUUGCAUUCGCUUUCAUUGUUUCCCCGGUUUCCUCCACUACUUCCUUGGUUAGCAUUAAGACCCGUAGUUACUUGAGUAACAAUGUUUGGGAUUGCUGCCAUGAGUUGUUGUGCUACAACUUGAGCAACAUCGGGUGUUUCGUUCUGUGGGCGCCUGCGAUUAGGCCUUCCUGACAUGGUUCUAAGACACAAGAGAAGAAAUACGUAUAAAUACAUAAAAUAAUGUAUAAUAUUUAGCUCACUACUAUUUUGAAAACCAUAAGUGUUGUCAAAUUAAUGGGUUGCAUUAAUACUAUGCAUACAGAUUUGAGAAAGGAAAGAAAAAGAAAAAUCUUUUUUCUAUUCAACCAUUGACUAAAUAAAUUCUAGGGUUUGACCUCAUUGUAAAAGUUUUCAAACAUAAAAAUAUACUUCUUCAUUACCAUUGAAAUAGUCUUAAAACCAAAACAAUACAUCAAUCCCCAAAAUAAAGUUUUAAAUGUUUUUCCCAAAAGACACCCAACAUGGGUUUUCGUUUCAUGACAAGAUAAAAUAAAAUACUGAAAUCAGAACCAAAUACUAAUCGCUAUCCCAAAAAAGAAACAUCAACACCACAAUCAGUUAUAGCCCUCCAAGCACAUAAUAUGCGGUUAUCGCACGACCUGCCACUCAUCUAGCAGCACAAGCAGUGUCAGCAGGCUCCAUCGAAUGCUGAAACAUGAUUUCCAUACUUGUCAACACUUCAUCCAAAAUGUCCCGAUGCCCAGCUAUCACAGCGAGACUGUGACGUAGGCCCGCUGCCAUCGACUGUAAUCUCCGGGACUCCUCCGGGGUCAUACCUGGGUUCCUGACAGGUAUCCCUAUGACUCGCUGUGGUGAGGGUGCUCUCGGUCCUGUAUUGUUGGGUCCUACCCUACUAGGCCCUGCCGUGCCAAGUCCUGCUGUACUGGUUGCUAUCCUUCCUGGAAUACGAACACUCUUCCUCGCCGUCCUCCGAAUAUGAAGUCCAUAAAGUGGUGGCUGUGGCAACACCGAUACAGGCGAUGCCUCGCAUUGCUGACUCGGGGCGUUGUCGUUGCUAAUCUCCACCGAGUCUCUCGUAUCUUCUGUGUCCUCCGAGGGGUCUUCUUCCACCAUGGCGGGGGGAUCACGUCGAGGGAUAACAGUGACAUAGCCGGACUCAUCAGCUGAGGCGGCAACGCGAGACGAUGACGAUGUCGACAUAGUGGACUGAGACAUAGUUUCAAUGAGAUAUGAAAUAAAUGACAAUGCAUGCCUAUAAUAUGCAAUGCUUACACACACCAAAAUUAACCUUUUCGAAUUUUUAAAAUAAAGUUUUCUCAAAAAUUUGUUGAACAUAUUCCCAUUAUAAUUAGCUCAAGCUUUGUAUAAUUCUUUCCUUAAUUAAACAUAGGUGAUCAGGCUAUGUUUAAUUGAGGUCCAACGAUACAACUCCCGACCUAAUUAUAUUAGUAAUAGGUUUUAUAUAAAGAGAAUUUUUAUAAGUUUUGGUUAUAGGUUGUGUUUUCUUAAAGGAAAACUGAUGUUCUCUAUAACUUUAGCUAUGAUACCACUUCUGUCACACCCCGCUAAAGCGGAAAUGCAAGAUAUGAUAGCGAUAACGGUUUCAUUGCAAAAGAUAAAGAUACAUCACCAUAGCAAUAUUUAAAAGUUUACAAUCCAUAGCUUAAACAAAACAAAGUACAAGUUUUUCCAAAAUAACAUUGUUCAAAAUAUAACUUCAUAACUUCAACACGAUGCAGCAUGCUCUAUGAUGAUGAAUCUUUAUAUCGACUUACUAAUUAUUUCCUGAAAAAGCAUGUAAAACGAGCGUCAACUAUGUAAAUAGUUGGUGAGUUCACAAGUUUAUAAAAUCAAGAUUUGGAAUAAGGCUUUUUAUAAAUACAAGUACAUUGCUUUAAUGAGAAACAAGUUUAUUGCUAUUAUUGAUAACAAGUUUAUUGCUAUAACGAGAAACGAGUUUGUAUGUGUAUGAGCAAACAAUGAGUCUCAACCAAACCUAUGACUAAAGCCCUAUCGAGAUCCAUGCUUAUCGUUCCAUAGAUGAAUAUGGUAUCAUGCACUCCAGCAAUAGGGCGAGUGAGGAGUUGUCAAUUCCUAAUAGCGCUAUCCAUAAUGACCAUUGGCUCAAAGAGUUAAUGGUUAGAGAUAAGGGAAGGGCCUUAGUACGAUAAGUUCUCAUGUUCCGUGUUGCAUAAACAUACAUAGAGAGACAUAGCAAUACAAUAGCAAUCAUGUUUGAUACAAAUCAAUUUAAAUACAACAUGCAAAUAAUAGAUUUUUUGGACAUGCUUUUCGACUCCAAAACAUAAAAACUGAAAAUAGGGGAGUGCGUGAAUACUCACAAUGUUUUGUGUAGGUACAAGUAGUGCCUCGGGAUGCACCAACGUCUUACUACCGGGAUCCUACGACAUCAAACACACACUAGUAAGUUUCCAUAUCGAAAUCCAAUGGUAAUAUACUAAACUCUACAUAUAGUGAAAUGCCAAUUUAUGUUUUAGUAUUGGAUUUUAUAUUAAUUGGUUACACUUUUUCAAAUUUUUAAGUCUUUAUAACAACAUAAAUUCACGAAAAAUGGCAUUCAAAGGAUAAAAAUUAUCAAACUUUUUAUUUAACUGUUAUUACACAAUAUUAAGCUGGAAAAAAUAUAAAAAUGGAUUUCCAAGCUGUUUAAUUAUAUUUUAUGAUUUUUGAGCAUUUAUUCAAAUAAAAAUUGAAAUAAAUAGAAAACAUUUGCCAAAAUUACCCAAACUUUUUAUUUAACUGUUAUUGUACAUAAAUAGGCUGGGAAAAAUAUAAAAGAUAUUUUUCAGUGGUUAUUUCUAUUUUUCCUUGUUUUAUUCCUUUAAAUAAUCAUUAAUUGAAUAAUAAAUAAUAAACAGUUAAAAUAAAUUACCCAAAAUUUUUGUAACAUCAUUUACAGUGUAAUUAAUCUGGGAAAAAUACGAAAAGUGGUUUUCAUAUUGUAUAAUCCGGUUUUGGGUAUUUAUGUGUAUUUAGGUGUAUUUAAGUGUAUUUAACUUUAGAAAAUAGGAGAAAAAUAGUUUACUGUAGAGAAAAAUCAUCACAAUUUUUAUGUAACCUCCUACUGUACAACAUGAUGUUCUGCUAAAUUUUCAUGAAUUUUGGAUAAUCAUAACUCUUUUUCCAAUUUUUAGGCCAUUAUAAUUACCAAAAAUUGGGAAAAAUAGUAAGGCAUGAUGAAAAAUUUGGAAAUUAUUUUUCUGAGUCACCCACCACAGGUAAGGGCUGCGAAAAUUGUUAGAAACAAUUUUCACACUCUCUAAUGUGGUUUUGUGAUUUAUUAUACCCAAACAAAAAGAAAAACGGAAAUUAUACCAAACAGCAACAAAAAUCUAAAUAAAUUUAAUGAGGGGUCAUUAUUCACCAUAGGGGUCAUCCAUGAAAUUAUUCAGAUUUAUAGACCUAUGGAAGUAUUUUAUGUGAUUUAUACCUCUGUUUUCUUGCAAUAAUUUUAAUAAAUCAAAGAAAUGAUAAAAACUCUUGGUAUUUUACAGAUUAUCACAUGCAUGUGAGGGCUUUCAAAAGGAAAAUGUUCAAAAUUUAUUCAGAACGGAAAAUAGGGGUAUUGAACCCAAACAAGUUAAGAAAUGUUGCAGAUUAUAGUGCAUGAGAUGUAAAUGUGGCUGAGGUUCAUGAAUUUGAGGAGCACAUUCUAUGUGGUUUUAAGCCACGAAAUUUCAGUCAUCAUUCACUGGAUAUGUUAAGUUUCUAAAUUAUUUUUCCCCAGAUUUAUGGUUGGGUUUAAGGCCACUGAUCACGCAAGGCAAAAAUGGUGAUCACAGAAAAAGAGCUGUUCGCGCAACCAUUUUGUAAAAAUUGCCAAAAAUCCGAUAUUUAAUAUUUUACAGUGAGACCAGUUGGGUUUGAAAGCUAACUCGUGGAACUAUCCAAUACAAAAAUAAUAUCAGGAUUUGGUUAAGUAAUGACCGAGUUAUGGCCGCUCAAAGCUGAACAAUGUAGUCUGGCAGAUUGCAUGUCUUCCCUGUUUGCUUUGAGUGCAUUCUUAGGGCAUUUUGACAAGAACAACAUGCAUGCUUCUGUUAAGGUCCGAUUUCUAGCACAUGCAUGGAGUGAAUGAGCAUCCAAGAUGUACUAGAAAUGGUUUAAAUGCUUUUGGUCAUGCAAGAACACAAAAGAAAUGGAGAAGAAGAUGUAAUACUCGGUUUUGAAGUCACAUGAACACAUGUGCAUCUUUUUCACUCCUUGCAUGGGUUUGAUCCCGGAUUUUCACCAUCUCAAACACAUGCAUUGUGUUAUGGUGAGAAUCUACAAACCACAAGGGAAAAAGUAAGGAUUUCUAGCCAUGGAAGGGCAUAGAAUCCGAAGAGUAGAGAAGAACCAUGAAGAAGAGGAAGUAAAAUCAUGAAACUAUGAGGGAGGAUUGUGUUGUUUACCUUGGUUUUGAUCUUGAGAGAAGCAAGAACACUUCAAGGCCUUCUCAAUUUCGAAAUUAUGGCAGAGAAUGGAGGAUUUUAUUGAGUUAGAGAGAGAGAGAGGAAGAGAGCUUGAGUGUUAGAUGGGUGGAGUGUGAGAGAAAGUGAAGAGAGAAGUGGAAGAGUGAGGGUUUGAGUUUAAUGAUUGAAUUUUUGGGAAGAUGAAAGCAUGGGGGAGAGAGGGUGCCAGAUUUUUGAGGGUAUUAAAGUGCAUAUGAGUCAAAGUUUAUCUGUUCCUUCUAGCAAUAAAAGCGAUAUCUGGGUGUCACACCCCACUAAAGCGGAAACGCAAGAUAUGACAGCGAUAACGGUUUCAUUGCAAAAGAUAAAGAUACAUCACCAUAGCAAUAUUUAAAAGUUUACAACCCAUAGCUUAAACAAAACAAAGUACAAGUUUUUCCAAAAUAACAUUGUUCAAAAUAUAACUUCAAAAAUAACUUCAACACGAUGCAGCAUGCUCUAUGACGAUGAAUCUUUAUAUCGACUUACUAAUUAUUUCCUGAAAAAGCAUGUAAAACGAGCGUCAGCUAUGUAAAUAGUUGGUGAGUUCACAAGUUUAUAAAAUCAAGAUUUGGAAUAAGGCUUUUCAUAAAUACAAGUACAUUGCUUUAAUGAGAAACAAGUUUAUUGCUAUUAUUGAUAACAAGUUUAUUGCUAUAACGCGAAACGAGUUUGUAUGUGUAUGAGCAAACAAUGAGUCUUAACCAAACCUAUGACUGAACCCUAUCAAGAUCUAUGCUUAUCGUUCCAUAGAUGAAUAUGGUAUCAUGCACUCCAACAAUAGGGUGAGUGAGGAGUUGUCAAUUCCAAAUAGCGCUAUCCAUAAUGACCAUUGGCUCAAAGAGUUAAUGGUUAGAGAUAAGGGAAGGGCCUUAGUAGUAUAAGUUCUCAUGUUCCGUGUUGCAUAGACAUACAUANCUUCUGUCACACCCCGCUAAAGCGGAAACGCAAGGUAUGACAGCGAUAACGGUUUCAUUGCAAAAGAUAAAGAUACAUCACCAUAGCAGUAUUUAAAAGUUUACAACCCAUAGCUUCAAAAGAAACAAAAUACAAGUUUUUGCAAAAUAACACUAUUCAAAGAUAACUUCAUAAAUAACUUCAACACGAUGCAGCAUGCUCUAUGAUGAUGAAUCUUUAUAUCCACUUACUAAUUAUUUCCUGAAAAAGCAUGUAAAACGAGCGUCAACUAUGAAAAUAGUUGGCGAGUUCACAAGUUUAUAAAUCGAGCUUGAAAUAAGGCUUUUCGUAAAUACAAGUACAUUUCUUUAAUGAUAAACAAAGUUGAUUGCUAUUAAUGAAUACAAGUUUAUUGUUGUAACGAGAAACGAUUUUGUAUGUAUAUGAGCAAACAAUGAGUCUCAACCAAACCUAUGACUGAAUCCCUAUCGAGAUCUAUGCUUAUCGUUCCAUAGAUGAAUAUGGUAUCAUGCACUCCAGCAAUAGGGCGAGUGAGGAGUUGUCAAUUCCUAAUAGCGCUAUCCAUAAUGACCAUUGGCUCAAAGAGUUAAUGGUUAGAGAUAAGGGAAGGGCCUUAGUACGAUAAGUUCUCAUGUUCCAUGUUGCAUAGACAUACAUAGAGAGACAUAGCAAUACAAUAGCAAGCAUGUUUGAUACAAAUCAAUUUAAAUACAACAUGCAAAUAAUAGAUUUUCUGGACAUGCUUUUCGACGCCAAAACAUAAAAACUAAAAAUAGGGGAGUGCGUGAAUACACACAAUGUUUCGUGUAGGUACAAGUAGUGCCUCGGGAUGCACCAACGUCUUACUACCGGGAUUCUACGACGUCAAACACACACUAGUGAGUUUUCAUAUCGAAAUCUAAUGCUAAUAUACUAAACUCUACAUAUAGUGAAAUGCCAAUUUAUGUUUUAGUAUUGAAUUUUAUAUUAAUUGGUUACACUUUUUCAAAUUUUUAAGUCUUUAUAACAACAUAAAUUCACGAAAAAUGGCAUUCAAAGGAUAAAA
rnacentral:lncRNA from 1 species